UACCUGAAUAUUGGGCGGUUCAAGCGAAUCCCAUGAUAGCGAAAACACUAAACAGAAUUUGUCACAGAGAAUGGGGGACAGAUUCUGAAUGCAAGGUUUGAUCUACUCCCUUCUCUAUCUCCUCUGUUGGUUGUUUCACUGUGGCUCAGCCCUUUACAUACUAAAUUUUUCUUUUUUUCAGUCUGGAACGACCAAUCAACUCCCUCGACGACCUUGCGAAGAGACCAGACGUCGAAACUUACGUCGCCAUCAACAGCGAAAAUCACCAGCUCUUUAUGAACCAAACCAAAGGCAUUCUGGGUGCUAUCAGCAAACAUGUGGUGCCAGACACAGGGGUAGACUUUGCUAUCAAACAACGGAGAAUCAUCGACGGGAAAGCAGUGGCUAUAAGUAGUGACAGCUUCCACUACUUCACUGCCACAUAUUACAACCAAAUGGAGGGGAUACGAGGAUUUACACCGUGCAGGCUUCACAUAUCGGCUGACCCUGUCAUACAAACGUACUAUACGUUCAUUGUCAAUAAAAACAGCUGGUUUAAGGAACAGAUGGAUACACGAAUCAGGUGGCUUCGAUCGUACGGCAUCGUCAACCAACUGGUCAAGAAGUUCGACCCGCCCGGGUGCUACCUCUACCACCCCAAGGAUCUACUGGGGUCAUCGCAGAGCCUGAACAUGACCCAACUCCAGGACAUCAUCUGGGUGUGGCUGACGGGCAUCCUACUGUCUGCCAUUGUGUUCUUGACGAAGCGUUUUGUAGGAGAGAAGUCUUGAACAAAAUGGAAUUUGCUAUAAUUAUAACCUUUGGCCUCAAGUGUACGUCGUAACCAUCUUAUAGCCCCUUUCCUCUUGGGGUGAAACAAGUUUAUAAAUAUCUACAAAUCAAAAUAAUAUUGGAACAGAAAAUGUAUGAAUUUUAUUCAAUAAAACUUUCUCUAGCAAGGCACUUCUCCUAA